rnacentral:rRNA from 1 species
CCUACGGGGUGCUGCAGUGAGGAAUAUUGGUCAAUGGACGAGAGUCUGAACCAGCCAAGUAGCGUGAAGGAUGACUGCCCUAUGGGUUGUAAACUUCUUUUAUAUGGGAAUAAAAUGUUCCACGUGUGGGAUUUUGUAUGUACCAUAUGAAUAAGGAUCGGCUAACUCCGUGCCAGCAGCCGCGGUAAUACGGAGGAUCCGAGCGUUAUCCGGAUUUAUUGGGUUUAAAGGGAGCGUAGGUGGAUUGUUAAGUCAGUUGUGAAAGUUUGCGGCUCAACCGUAAAAUUGCAGUUGAAACUGGCAGUCUUGAGUACAGUAGAGGUGGGCGGAAUUCGUGGUGUAGCGGUGAAAUGCUUAGAUAUCACGAAGAACUCCGAUUGCGAAAGCAGUUCACUGGACUGCAACUGACACUGAGGCUCGAAAGUGUGGGUAUCAAACAGGAUUAGAUACCCGGGUAGUC